AUCGUUCAUCCCAUUAGGGACGCAAGUAAGUCGCGGAACGGAGCCGUUCAUCCCAUGCUAGAACUAUUAUUCUAUACAACACUCACCUGCACUCAAACUGAUGCUAUCAUGCUGAAGAUUGAGAACAAUGCUAAUCUUAGUAAUUUACUAAAGAUUGAGUUAGUAGAAACCUUAAAGGAAUCUGCGCCAGAAUGUGAGUGGUAUUGGGACGCACACGACUGAAGGAACGGGGA
rnacentral:ncRNA from 21 species